UACGAAGGGGGCUAGCGUUGCUCGGAAUCACUGGGCGUAAAGCGCACGUAGGCGGAUUGCUAAGUCAGGGGUGAAAUCCUGGAGCUCAACUCCAGAACUGCCUUUGAUACUGGCGACCUUGAGUCCGGGAGAGGUGAGUGGAACUGCGAGUGUAGAGGUGAAAUUCGUAGAUAUUCGCAAGAACACCAGUGGCGAAGGCGGCUCACUGGACCGGUACUGACGCUGAUGCGCGAAAGCGUGGGGAGCAAACGGGG
rnacentral:rRNA from 1 species